rnacentral:tRNA from 1 species
GCCGACGUAGCUCAGCCGGUAGAGCGACGCACUCGUAAUGCGUAGGUCGUGGGUUCGAAUCCCAUCGUUGGCUCCA